AGAGUUUGAUCCUGGCUCAGAUUGAACGCUGGCGGUAUGCUUUACACAUGCAAGUCGAACGGGCUUAGGUGCUUGCACCUGAGUUAGUGGCGAACGGGUGAGUAAUAUAUCGGAACAUAUCCGGAAGUGGGGGAUAACGUAGCGAAAGUUACGCUAAUACCGCAUAUGCCCUGAGGGGGAAAGGGGGGGAUCGCAAGACCUCUCGCUUUCGGAGUGGCCGAUACCGGAUUAGCUAGAUGGUGAGGUAAAGGCUCACCAUGGCGACGAUCCGUAGCGGGUCUGAGAGGACGACCCGCCACACUGGAACUGAGACACGGUCCAGACUCCUACGGGAGGCAGCAGUGGGGAAUUUUGGACAAUGGGCGCAAGCCUGAUCCAGCCAUACCGCGUGAGUGAAGAAGGCCUUCGGGUUGUAAAGCUCUUUCAGCUGGGAAGAAACGGGUAUGCUUAAUAAGUGUGUCUAAUGACGGUACCAGCAGAAGAAGCACCGGCUAACUACGUGCCAGCAGCCGCGGUAAUACGUAGGGUGCGAGCGUUAAUCGGAAUUACUGGGCGUAAAGCGUGCGCAGGCGGUUUGAUAAGCCAGAUGUGAAAUCCCCGGGCUUAACCUGGGAACUGCAUUUGGAACUGUCAGACUAGAGUGUAGCAGAGGGGGGUAGAAUUCCACGUGUAGCAGUGAAAUGCGUAGAUAUGUGGAGGAAUACCAAUGGCGAAGGCAGCCCCCUGGGUUAACACUGACGCUCAUGCACGAAAGCGUGGGGAGCAAACAGGAUUAGAUACCCUGGUAGUCCACGCCCUAAACGAUGUCAACUAGUUGUUGGGGGAGGAGACUUCCUUAGUAACGCAGCUAACGCGUGAAGUUGACCGCCUGGGGAGUACGGUCGCAAGAUUAAAACUCAAAGGAAUUGACGG
rnacentral:rRNA from 1 species